ACCCAAAAACUGAAGUUGCAUUUUCCCUCACAUUGAAAUUAUUCACGAUUCCCCCAAAACCCCAAAUCACACUCGCCGCUUUCUUUCAUCCCGAACCCAAAGAUCAAAUCUGGCAACUCGUGAUUGUCCCCGCCGACAAACUGACUGCUGUGCACUGUCGAUCUUAGCUUGAAGACGAAAUCCCACCGAAACCCAACAUCGAAAUCCUAUUUGAAGAUGGAAGUCAAAACGUAGAUGAUGGAAAAAGGUGAUAUCAUGCCAUAUUACUAUCAACUGUUCCCCGAUCAAGGUGCCCCAAGUUUGUGAUUCUAGCUGGAAAGAACCAACUCUCUCAGCUGCAUGACAAGAGUUUCAUCUGGCAACAGCACAAGGAGUCCACUUCUAAAGAUAAUAUUACUCCACUUCGUAAAUUUUGUGUGAUGAAAAAUCGGGACAUUUGUCACGUGAGGCAACACGAGCUACAUCUUGGGAUCAAUAAUGUCAGUGCAAGAAUGUUUUUGAAAGAUGAGAAAUUAAGCUUGUAAUGUGCUUUUGUCAUAAUUUUUCAAAAAUGUAGUACUGAAACAUUUUGGGACAUGUUGAUUAAAGUAAAUUUGCUAAUGGAGACUUUGACAAAGAAACGAGAAUACCUUUUAU